rnacentral:rRNA from 1 species
GUCCUACGGGGCGCAGCAGUGGGGGAUAUUGCACAAUGGGGGGAACCCUGAUGCAGCGACGCCGCGUGGGUGAAGGAGCGUUUCGGCGCGUAAAGCCCUAUCGGCAGGGAAGAAGGAGGACGGUACCUGACUAAGAAGCCCCGGCUAACUACGUGCCAGCAGCCGCGGUAAUACGGAGGAUGCGAGCGUUAUCCGGAUUUAUUGGGUUUAAAGGGUGCGUAGGCGGUUUGUCAAGUCAGCGGUAAAAAUUCCGGGCUCAACCCGGUCCCGCCGUUGAA